rnacentral:lncRNA from 1 species
AUACAUAUAUAUAUAUCAAUAAAUAGAUGUUUCAAAUAAUACAAGAAUGAUAUUAUUUACGAAUGUUUUCCCCGUUAGUAUAUAUACUAUUGGUUCACAGACGUCUUGGUGCUAACUACAAAAUACCACUACUUGCUCUUACGAGUUCACGGAAUAUUCUUGGUGAUAUGAAAUGUUCCUUAUAUGUUAAAAAGAAGCAAAAGUUGUACAAGGCAAAAUUAAUAAAUGAAGUAGAUCCUACUUGUAUAUUCCUUUGGAGGUUGUCCUUUCUUUUGCAAUCCCCAACAACGGCUUUCUAUACAAGGUCCGUCCAGUUUAUAAGGAUUAGGGGAAGUCUGUACUUUAACUAGCAGAGGAAAUCAAGCAAGCUCUAUCUACUAAGCAGGGAUGAAGCUGUCUUCAAGCGGUUAGGUGUAAAGCAAAGUUCUAAACAUGCAUGCUAGCUAAAUUGGUGUAUAGCUAUAGGACAUAAUGAUGUGGGAGCUGGUAAUAUCCUUCGUACAGAGAAAACGUAAAACUAGGUACUAAACAAAAAGAGACCUGAAAAGACAGAAAAGUUACUAACCUGUGGAUUCAUUAAUACAUAUGAAAUGCACUUAUUAGAGGAUAAUCCCCAGAAUGUGUCCCAGCAGAAUACCUACCUUCGAUGGAGGGUGGUCUCGGAGAGAGUUUCGUCAGGAAACGUUUAAGACUCAGAAAAUCCUCUAUAACUUGAGAAAAUCAGAACCACAUGUUCCACUUUGAUAAGCCCACAAUAAAAAAGGAAAAAGGAAACAGAUAGAUUCUGGAGGUCAAACUAGGAAUAUUAGUGACAUUUCAUCAAAGUUGAGAAUACUGAAGAUGAAUGACAUCCUUUCUGUCAAAUUUUGAAUAUUUAGCAGGGUUGGAUCUUUUAGAUAACCUCUAUCCAAACAAUAACAAACUAACCUAUAUGAAAAUGGAAAGUUAAGGAAUGGUGAUAAAACAGAUAAUGUUCUUAUUCUUUUCGGAAAUUCACAAUGAACUAAACUGGUAUCUUGAAUGAGAAAGCAUUCAAAAUAUUUUUCUGCUGUGGAAGAUCACUGAGUGACUUCAAGUUAUUCAUCCUGAAUGAUUUAAUACAUUCUGUAAUGUUUUGGCUUACGAGAGCGCUAUUAAAGUUAUGAGUAAACUAGGA